GGAACAUUGGACAAUGGGCGAAAGCCUGAUCCAGCAAUGCCGCGUGAGUGAUGAAGGCCUUAGGGUUGUAAAGCCCUUUUACCCGGGAUGAUAAUGACAGUACCGGGAGCAUAAGCCCCGGCUAACUCCGUGCCAGCCGCCGCGGUAAUACGGAGGGGGCUAGCGUUGUUCGGAAUUACUGGGCGUAAAGCGCGCGUAGGCGGCAUUGUAAGUUAGAGGUGAAAGCCCGGAGCUUAACUCCGGAACUGCCUUUAAGACUGCAUCGCUAGAAUCGUGGAGAGGUGAGUGGAAUUCCGAGUGUAGAGGUGAAAUUCGUAGAUAUUCGGAAGAACACCAGUGGCGAAGGCGACUCACUGGACACGUAUUGACGCGGAGGUGCGAAAGCGUGGGGAGCAAAC
rnacentral:rRNA from 1 species